GCCAGGAUGGCCGUGCGGUCUAAGGCGCUGCUGCGUUCAGAUCGCAGUCCGGUCUUCCGGGCGUGGGUUCGAAUCCCACUUCUGACA
rnacentral:tRNA from 1 species